rnacentral:rRNA from 1 species
ACUCAAAGGAAUUGACGGGGGCUCACACAAGCGGUGGAGGAUGUGGCUUAAUUCGAGGCUACGCGAAGAACCUUAUCCUAGGCUUGACAUGCGGUUAUACCGUCCCUGAAAGGGGAGCCGGUCCGAAAGGAGACCAGCACAGGUGCUGCAUGGCUGUCGUCAGCUCGUGUCGUGAGAUGUCGGGUUAAGUCCCUUAACGAGCGAAACCCCUAUCAUUAGUUGCCAGCGCGUCAAGGCGGGGACUCUAGUGAGACUGCCGAUGUUAAAGAGGAGGAAGGUGGGGAUGACGUCAAGUCCUCAUGGCCCUUAUGCCUAGGGCUGCACACGUCCUACAAUGCCACACACAAAGGGAAGCAAAAUCGUGAGAUCGAGCAAAUCCCAAAAAAUGUGGCCCAGUUCGGAUUGUAGUCUGAAAUUCGACUACAUGAAGUCGGAAUCGCUAGUAAUCGCGGGUCAGAAUACCGCGGUGAAUGUGUUCCUGAGCCUUGCACACACCGCCCGU